GAUGAACGCUGGCGGCGUGCCUAAUACAUGCAAGUCGAGCGAACAGACGAGGAGCUUGCUCCUCUGACGUUAGCGGCGGACGGGUGAGUAACACGUGGAUAACCUACCUAUAAGACUGGGAUAACUUCGGGAAACCGGAGCUAAUACCGGAUAAUAUAUUGAACCGCAGGGUUCAAUAGUGAAAGACGGUUUUGCUGUCACUUAUAGAUGGAUCCGCGCCGCAUUAGCUAGUUGGUAAGGUAACGGCUUACCAAGGCAACGAUGCGUAGCCGACCUGAGAGGGUGAACGGCCACACUGGAACUGAGACACGGUCCAGACUCCUACGGGAGGCAGCAGUAGGGAAUCUUCCGAAAUGGGCGAAAGCCUGACGGAGCAACGCCGCGUGAGUGAUGAAGGUCUUCGGAUCGUAAAACUCUGUUAUUAGGGAAGAACAAAUGUGUAAGUAACUAUGCACGUCUUGACGGGACCUAAUCAGAAAACCACGGCUAACUACGU
rnacentral:rRNA from 1 species